GGAACAUCAAAUGUCCCUCUGCCUAUCAUCCCAAAUGGAGAGAGAAGAUGAUAAAGGGAAUUAAAAUGCUACAACUGCAAUAACCGCUAUAUAAAUAAAUCAAGCUGCUUUUUGGAAGAAGACAUUGGAAAAAGGGAUACGUUUCAAAUAGUGGGUGAAUGUUGAAGACACAUUCCAAAUCCAAACUUGUAUAUUCUAUAUAUUGAAGAAAUAGAGUGAUACACACUAGGUCGUGCAUCGGCAGGACAAAAGUGGCUCCUUUUUAUUGAGGGAGAUAAUAGAAAAAUAAAUGCUAGGAAGUUUUUCAAAGGAGAUCAAAAGGUGCAGUGAUUAAUGACUCUGAUGUACUUCAAAAUGACAAUUCUUCAAGCAAGUAGGUUUGGGUUUCAAGUAAUUAACCUAACACUUGAACAAUGGACUGUUACAAAAUAUAAUGAAGAGAAUUACAUGGCCGGCAGUGAGGAUUGUGUCAAAUCUCAUCAGUCAUCUACAACCACUUUCUCUGACCCUUUCUGCAUCAUUGAAUUUGACUCCCUUUCUUCCCAUACUCUCCUUGGAGGACCUAAGAGGAAAUGUGGAUGGGCAGACAAAACAGAAAACUAAAGGAGGGAAGAUAGUCCAAGAAGAAAGCAUUUGGAGAAGAGCUACACAUGCUCAACUGAACUUCCUGUCAAAUUGUUCCCACUCGUUUUGGCACAAGUCUGCUUAGGCCAUCUCUCAUUAACAUUUACUCUUGCCCUGAGCCCUCUAUGCCCCCAACCCCUGCUAAUCUUCCACAAGCAAGCUGAUCACACCGGGAUUUGCUUUUCCCAGACACGUUUGAUUCUCACUUUCUCCUGAACCUAGAAAUGUGCUUCCCACCAAAGCAUGCCAGGCACUAACUCAUCCCUACUGAAAGGGGCUGUUAAAAGCCCAUCUUCUUCCAAAUGGUAGUGAGGUGAUCCUUUUUCUUUCUUUUUUCUUUUUUUACUUUUAGCUACUCCUCAAUUCUGAUGUUCAGUAACAAUGUAUUCCACUUAAAAAAGGGAAAUCAUAUUAAUUAUUCUAAGAUAUAAACACUUAAUUUUA